rnacentral:rRNA from 1 species
GACGAACGCUGGCGGCGUGCUUAACACAUGCAAGUCGAACGGAAAGGCCCUGCUUGUGUGGGGUGCUCGAGUGGCGAACGGGUGAGUAACACGUGAGUAACCUGCCCUUGACUUUGGGAUAACUUCAGGAAACUGGGGCUAAUACCGGAUAGGAGCUCCUGCUGCAUGGUGGGGGUUGGAAAGUUUCGGCGGUUGGGGAUGGACUCGCGGCUUAUCAGCUUGUUGGUGGGGUAGUGGCUUACCAAGGCUUUGACGGGUAGCCGGCCUGAGAGGGUGACCGGCCACAUUGGGCCUGCGAUACGGCCCAGACUCCUACGGGAGGCAGCAGUGGGGAAUAUUGCACAAUGGGCGGAAGCCUGAUGCAGCAACGCCGCGUGCGGGAUGACGGCCUUCGGGUUGUAAACCGCUUUCGCCUGUGACGAAGCGUGAGUGACGGUAAUGGGUAAAGAAGCACCGGCUAACUACGUG